CCUUCGCUUUCACGCUUUUCACAGGCACUGCUGCUGGUCCCUGUUGUACCCCUUUUCCUGCAUUCCCCGAGCAAUCUGCUCUUAGAUGUCUAAGAUAUUUACUGCUGC